UACGUAGGGUGCAGGCGUUAAUCGGAAUUACUGGGCGUAAAGCGUGCGCAGGCGGUUUGCUAAGACAGGUGUGAAAUCCCCGGGCUUAACCUGGGAACUGCGCUUGUAACUGGCAAGCUAGAGUGUGGCAGAGGGGGGUGGAAUUCCACGUGUAGCAGUGAAAUGCGUAGAGAUGUGGAGGAACACCGAUGGCGAAGGCAGCCCCCUGGGCUAGCACUGACGCUCAGGCACGAAAGCGUGGGGAGCAAACAGG
rnacentral:rRNA from 1 species